UACGGAGGGGGCUAGCGUUAUUCGGAAUUAUUGGGCGUAAAGGGCGUGUAGGCGGCUUCGUGUGUCCCAUGUGAAAGCCCUCGGCUCAACCGGGGAACUGCAUGGGAAACUGCGGAGCUUGAGUCCGGGAGAGGUGAGUGGAAUUCCCAGUGUAGCGGUGAAAUGCGUAGAUAUCUGGAGGAACACCGGUGGCGAAGGCGGCAUCCUGGACCGGCACUGACACUGAGGAGCGAAAGCCAGGGGAGCAAACGGG
rnacentral:rRNA from 1 species